ensembl:lncRNA
CCUCCACCCUUUCAUCCGUCUCCUUCUCCUCUCCGAUCCUGAAGAAAGGUAUUGCUGAGAAGCAAAGCACAAGUUGGAAGAUUCAAAAUGAGCUGCAGACAAGUUGUGGCAUUGGAUGGUCUACUCUGGGAAUGCCAAUAUCUGAAACUGUUGCUGUGAAGCCAAUGGAAAUGAGUCAUGUGACUGAUACUUUGACAAAGAACUCGCGUUUCUGACCUCAUGCUGUGGUGGGAUCCUGGAGUCUCAUGUCUAGUUUUGCUGUAAACUUUGGACCCAGUAGAUGCAGAAACCUUUGAUUUGGUGUUGCAAGAAGACUGACUGAAGCGCGGUGGAUACUGGCAUAAAGGAUUGGUACUAAUGUAGAGCUGUCCCAGUCAGGUGGCCAGUAAUUUACAACUGCCAGUGUAGCUAAGAAUGAGGUGAAUGCAGGAGAUGAAGAGGAAGGCCCAAGAAAACAUGACAGAGAACAUUGGAGACUGAGCACCAACAACAACUAGCAUAAUGUAGAGGGCUGCGGGUCCUGACCGAUCAUUGCGGCACGUAACUGGGCUGUGCAUUCCACCUCCGUAGGCAGUUAGCCUAGCUGCAUCAUAGUUUGCAUCCCUUGAAGGCCGAUCAUUGCGGCGCAGACCAGCUGGCUGGUGUGUUUACGGACAUAUUCAAUCAAUCCCUAUCACAGUCUGUUGUUCCCACAUGCUUCAAGAGGGCCACCAUUGUUCCUGUUCCCAAGAAAGCUAAGGUAACUGAGCUAAACGACUACCGCCCCGUAGCACUCACUUCCGUCAUCAUGAAGUGCUUUGAGAGACUAGUCAAGGACCAUAUCACCUCCACCCUACCUGACACCCUAGACCCACUCCAAUUUGCUUACCGCCCAAAUAGGUCCACAGACAAUGCAAUCUCAACCACAC